rnacentral:rRNA from 1 species
AUGGAUCGGGGGCAGCAGCAGCAGGGCGUCAGCCUGCAGCCGCACCGAUUCGACCACCCCCGGAUGCAGUACCCGCAGCACGGCGGCGGCCGCAGCCGCGUGCCGCCCUUCGCGCGCGGCGGCCGCGGCCAGAAGCACUUCUACCGGCAGCCGCCGCCGCCGCCGCCGUCCAUUCAAGCGGGCGCGCCCGCGCGGCACAGGUACGAGGUGCUCAUGGAGGCCGGCCGCCUCGCCGCCGAGUACCUGGUGGCCAAAGGCGUGCUCCCGGCGGCAUCGCUGCAGCGGGGCGGUGGAGCUGGGUGGGGUCAGAUGCCGCCCGCGCCUCCGUUGCCGCAGGCUCAGGAAGCCCCCGCGUUCUACGACUCCCGCCGGAAUGGCCGACAGCGUCUUGAUGAUGACUACGGUAAUCCCAACCCCCGGUCACGCCGGAACCAUGGUGGUGAUUACAUUGGCGGUGACAAUGGUAACUACAAUGGGAGGGGGAAGAGGAAGUUUGGGGCUUACAACAGGAAUUCAGAGUGGGGCCGGGACAGGGAGAGGAGUAGGGAUUAUUUAGAUAGCCGGAAUUAUGGUGAUGAUGAUGAGGAAGAUAGGGCUCCUGGGUAUAGGAGGGACCGGCGAGCAAGUGCUGGGAUUGAUGAGGUUGGGAGUAGUGUCUCGGGCGUGGCUGGGGAGAGACCGACAUCAAAGGUGGAGGCUGUGGGGGAGUCGGAGUUGGAGGAUACUGGCUCAAAGGUGAGCUCUAACAGUAAUGUCAGGAAGGAUGUUGAUGCCGUGCAAGAGGUGCAAAAUGAGAAUGAAGCUAAUAAGAUGGAGGAGGAUAGUAAGGUGUCUGAUUUAGAGGUCGUUGAGAAAGGGAUCAACAGUGAGAGUAUUCAUAAUAAUGCUUCUUCUGGUGUUGUUGAGGAGGGGGAGAUAAAUCAUUCGCCAAUGCCCUCAGAUGACAAGCCUGAUGAUGGUAGUAUUAUGGAUGAGAAGGCUGAACAUGACAAGAGUUUAGAUGACAAGGCUGAAGAUGAGAAGGGAUCAAGCGUUGAAAAUAAUUUGCAUGGUGGUUGUCAGAAUUUGCUGAGCAAUUGUAAUUUUGCAAGAGCCCCAACAAGACCACGAUCAAUACCUGCUCAUAGGAAUGGACCAUCAACCCAUAGAGAUACUGCAUUGGCCAAACAGGUAGAUCUGGCUCCUCUGAUGGUGAUUGAUGGAGCAGCAAAUGACAGCCCCUUGACUAAUGUCCAGGGAGACAAUAAAGAUGACCUUGUCUGCCUAGAACAUACUGACCCAAGUCUUGCUUGCAAUCAAAUGGUGGAACACGUGAGACUCCAAGAAGAAGAAGCACAAACUGAGAUACAAGAUGUGCAAGAACAGAACAGUACUGCACAACAUUACACAGUUCAGGAAAUUAAGGAGUGUGAUGGACUGAAUCCUACACUGGCUUCUCAGGCUCAGCACGAUUGUUCAAAGCUUCAAAUCAGGGAAGAAGUGCAAAUUUACAAUAUCGAUACACCACCACAACAUGAAGACUUGAUUGAUUCAGCUGAUAAAGGGAAAACAACAGAUAGUGUGGAAUUAUUACCUCAUAUCAAAGAAGAAGCUGUUGUCACGAUAAAAGGGGAAGAACUUGGACAAUCUAGCUCAUUUAAAAUAUGUGAUCUCAACCUCAUUGGUAGUCCAGAGCUUGCUGAUAUACGAAAUGAUCCUGGUUUCGGCCAGUGCUCCAAUGUUGUAUGUUCAAUAGAGGCGCAAAAUCAGCAGCAUUUUGAUUUUGGAACAACUGUGGGUAACAAUGCUAGUAAUACUGACAGAUUUGCCCAAAUUCCGUUAAACGAUAAGGUUAUUCAAAUAAUUGAUAUUGAAGAUGACCCUCCAAUUGAACCUAGUGUGUCUGAUACUUUAAGACCAAAAAGUGAGAUGGUAUAUCCAAGCAUGGAUAAUAUGAUGGGCUCUAGUGUGAACACAAACAUUUUCCCUGGCACGCAAGAUGGUUAUAACAUCGCAAUUCCAGAUUUCCUUGGUGCUGAUAUGCCAUGCUACCCACCAUUACAUGCAGACCUUCAUGCCGAGAUGGGCCUAAAUGAUCCAGAGGUCAUUACUGUCAUGGAUGAUCCAAUAUAUGAUUCUCUAGGUGAUAUUGGUUUUAUGGAGGUUUGGGACCAGCAGCCUCCGGACUACAAAUUCUUCUGA